UUCGCAAUGCCCGAAAGGGUGACGAAGCGACGCCGCGUGAGCGAAGAAGGCCCUAGGGUUGUAAACCGCUGUCGGGAGUUAAGAAGUGCAAGGGUGUUAAUAGCAUCUUUGCUUGACAAAGGCCCUAAAGGAAGCCACGGCUAACUCUGUGCCAGCAGCCGCGGUAAUACAGAGGUGGCAAGCGUUGUUCGGUAUUAUUGGGCGUAAAGAGCACGUAGGUGGUUUUGUAAGUCAGAUGUGAAAGCCUUCUGUUCAAAGGAAGAACGGCAUCUGAAACUGCAGAUCUUGAGUGUAGGAGGGGAGAGUGGAACUUCUGGUGGAGCGGUGGAAUGCGUAGAUAUCAGAAGGAACGCCGGCGGCGAAAGCGACUCUCUGGCCCGAAACUGACGCUGAGUGUGCGAAAGCUAGGGGAGCAAACGGGAUUAGAUACCCCGGUAGUCCUAGCCGUAAACGAUGGGCACUAAGUAGAGGGGUUUU
rnacentral:rRNA from 2 species